rnacentral:rRNA from 1 species
AGAGAUGGCUUGGUGCCCGAAAGGGAGCCGUAACACAGGUGCUGCAUGGCUGUCGUCAGCUCGUGUCGUGAGAUGUUGGGUUAAGUCCCGCAACGAGCGCAACCCUUGCCAUUAGUUGCUACGAAAGGGCACUCUAAUGGGACUGCCGGUGACAACCUGGAGGAAGGUGGGGAUGACGUCAAGUCCUCAUGGCCCUUAUGGGCUGGGCUACACACGUGCUACAAUGGCGGUGACAAUGAGCAGCAACUUUGCGAGAAGGAGCUAAUCUCUAAAAACCGUCUCAGUUCAGAUUGUUCUCUGCAACUCGAGAGCAUGAAGUCGGAAUCGCUAGUAAUCGUGGAUCAGCAUGCCACGGUGAAUACGUUCCCGGGUCUUGUACACACCGCCCGUCAAGUGAUGGGAGUUGGUUCCACCUGAAGCCGGUGCGCUAACCUUCGGGGAGCAGCCGACCACGGUGAGAUCAGCG